UGGGCAUUUGAUCUAGUGGUAUGAUUCUUGCUUAGGGUGCGAGAGGUCCCGAGUUUAAUUCUCGGAAUGCCCCA
rnacentral:tRNA from 1 species